AUUGAACGCUGGCGGCAGGCUUAACACAUGCAAGUCGAGCGGUAACAGAGAGAAGCUUGCUUCUCUGCUGACGAGCGGCGGACGGGUGAGUAAUGCCUAGGAAUCUGCCUAGUAGUGGGGGAUAACUUGCCGAAAGGUAAGCUAAUACCGCAUACGUCCUACGGGAGAAAGGAGUGGACCUUCGGGCCUUUCGCUAUUAGAUGAGCCUAGGUCGGAUUAGUUAGUUGGUGAGGUAAUGGCUCACCAAGACCGCGAUCCGUAACUGGUCUGAGAGGAUGCUCAGUCACACUGGAACUGAGAUACGGUCCAGACUCCUACGGGAGGCAGCAGUGGGGAAUAUUGGACAAUGGGGGGAACCCUGAUCCAGCCAUGCCGCGUGUGUGAAGAAGGUCUUAGGAUUGUAAAGCACUUUAAGUUGGGAGGAAGAGCAGUUAACUAAUAUUUGACUGUUUUGACGUUACCGACAGAAUAAGCACCGGCUAACUUCGUGCCAGCAGCCGCCGUAA
rnacentral:rRNA from 1 species